rnacentral:rRNA from 1 species
GAUGAACGCUGGCGGCGUGCUUAACACAUGCAAGUCGAACGAAGCAAUUUUCUACGAUCCCUUCGGGGUGACGGAUUAUUGACUGAGUGGCGGACGGGUGAGUAACGCGUGGGUAACCUACCUUGUACAGGGGGACAACAGUUGGAAACGACUGCUAAUACCGCAUAAGCGCACAGCAUCGCAUGAUGCAGUGUGAAAAGUUUUUUCGGUACAAGAUGGACCCGCGUCUGAUUAGCUAGUUGGUGAGGUAACGGCCCACCAAGGCGACGAUCAGUAGCCGACCUGAGAGGGUGACCGGCCACAUUGGGACUGAGACACGGCCCAAACUCCUACGGGAGGCAGCAGUGGGGAAUAUUGCACAAUGGGCGAAAGCCUGAUGCAGCGACGCCGCGUGAGCGAAGAAGUAUUUCGGUAUGUAAAGCUCUAUCAGCAGGGAAGAUAAUGACGUAC